UACAGAGGUCCCAAGCGUUGUUCGGAUUCACUGGGCGUAAAGGGUGCGUAGGUGGUCAGGUAAGUCGGAUGUGAAAUCUCCGAGCUCAACUCGGAAACUGCAUUGGAAACUACCUGGCUCGAGGGUUGGAGGGGGGACUGGAAUGCUUGGUGUAGCAGUGAAAUGCGUAGAUAUCAAGCGGAACACCGGUGGCGAAGGCGGCCUUCUGGACAGUGACUGACGCUGAGACGCGAAAGCGUGGGGAGCAAACAGG
rnacentral:rRNA from 1 species